rnacentral:lncRNA from 1 species
ACACUUCCGGCUAAGUACGGGCGUAAUAAUGGUGAUUAAAACUGUUCACCGUUCCUUUGAGUUCCUCGUAGAUUCUGGAUAUUAGUCCUUUGUUGGAGGUAUAGAUUGUGAAGAUUUUCUCCAAUUCAUCGCCGUUUUUUAGAGUUUUUCUCACUAAAUAUUGACUAACGGAACCUAGCCCUGUAAUGUUGAUAGUCGGGCGGGUCGGAAGUGGCUGAGGUGGAGUAUCUGCAGGAGAAGAACUGAGGCUCCUAAGUGCAGCAUCUUGUCCAAGAGGUUUCGUCCCAAUGCGUGGGGAACAUCCGGAUUGUGAUGUUUAGCUCUCAGUUUCUAACUUGGGCAUUCUAGCAACUGUAUUUCUCAUUUAAUGUUUUAUGGGCACACAUGCAGAGGAGUUUUCGUCACUGAAAAGCCCGACAACUUCCCCUGCCAACCCAUUGGAAUUAAAAAAACCUCGAUAACCUCUUAAACACAUGGAAAUGGAACCCUGAGCAGAGGUAAAAGCCUAGCAGUGAUCACUCUUUUGGCGACUUGGAAAUCGGGGUGAGCUUUUAUCCGUUACCUGUGCCCUGUUGUUAGGGGUCGACUGCUGCUGUUCUUCCUUGGAAACUGGCUCCACUGCAUUUCGGGGCUGGGAUGUUGUUAAAGCAUUCACAGCCCUCAGAGCACAUGACGAGGGAGUUGGGAAAUGAAGCAAGCAGGACCUUCCACUUUGUAGCAGACUUAUUUCUGGAGAAACUGAUGGUUGGGGCCACAAAACGCUUUCAGUGUAGGCUCAUCAUGACUCAUUUGGACAUCCUAUUUUCUCUCCUUAUGUAUGAGAUUGUGGUGGGUAUCUGUACAGCCUAAGGACCUUGGGUGGACCUGGCCAGCAAUGGGACUGUUACUGAUGAUGCAUCACAUGGUGUCACUAGGAAAAGCAUAGAUCAGCUGAGGAUCAAUCUUCCCACCAGGUGUGUGUGAAAAUGUAGGUUAUGUGCUUCCUUCAGCCCCAAACCUGUUGUCCACACCAGAAUCUGGAAAUAAUCUCAUUGGAAUUGGGAGAAUGAUUGAUGAUACUCAGUGAAUUGCAUUGCAACUAUUCAUUGAUUCAUUCAUCUAUCCAGUUCAAAAUAUCAAGAAACAGAGAAGUGAGAGGAACAAGAGAGCUUCUGUUCUAGUAACAUUUGUCAAAAGGAGGAAAAAACCUCUAUUUCAGAUUGCUUUCAUAUACAGCCAUGAGAUGCAUGAUUUUUCAUAGAUCAAAAGAGGAGACAAAAUGCAGACUUUGUCAUCUGUUGGACAGAAUGUUCUGAUUACUAUGGAUGGGGCUUCAGGAGUUAAUGGCAAAAGAAAUGAGUCUUCCGUGGCGUGCUUCAGUCCCCAAACCACUCUCUCAUUUGACUAUGAGGUUUGCUGGAAUGAGACCAUUCACAGAGGAAGGGGGGACAUCAGGGAGAUGGGAAAUUGGCCACCUGCAAGAAACGAGUCCCUUGCACAAAGCCCAGUGUAGCAACAACGGACUCAACGAAGGAAGCCAGCCAUCCAACGGAGAAAGACCAGCUAGCGAAGGCAGACGACGCUCAUCUUCUGUAAAUAGCAAGGCUUAAGAAAAAUAGUCAAUGAGCGCGCUCCCUUUUUGUUUGGCUUUGGUACCAUUGACUAGUUGUCUGAAAGUAACCGAUUGUAUGGAAUGGAACGAGUGGGAACCCAGCCAGUACCCCGAGCCAAGAAGUCCAGGCAAGUUAUCAAGAAGAGGCUUUUCUUUUUCUCCUCCUCCCCCUCAUUUCUCUUUUUCCUUCUUCUUUUUUAAAUUCAAGAACAUUUUAUUUAAAAUGAAAUUCCCUUAAAGUUGUGCAUUGUCUUUUAUUUAAAGAUGUAGUAUCUCUGAGAAUAAAGAAAGGAAGAGAGGAAAUUAAAAAGCAAUGAGAGAAGACGUCUGGCAGCUUGGCCUCUCACCAAGUGACCUUUUGAUAGACCACAUGGGACUCAGAACUAUAUGAGCCUACCAAGGAAGUGAACAAUUUAUGGUGCCUUGUUUGGGCUUUUGAUAAGUAUCUCUGUAAAGUGAUGCAAGGAAAAACAACCCGGGACCUACUAUAAUUGCAGAAUUCCUUUAAAUUAUUUUAAGAUGAGAGAGGCCAUCAGGACUAGAGAGAAAUAGCCCCCAGGCUCAGGAUAUUUAUGUGUAUUUCAUUUAAAAAAUCGGUGCCACAAUGUCCCAAUGAUCAUUAAGCAACCUGUCUGGGUGUCCUUCAAAAGCUGGAGGAUUUGUUCCCUGAGGAGGAUGAGACAGUUAUUCAUAAGGCAGGAUCUGAGCACCAUGGGGCCACGUCCCAUGCAUGAAACAUGAGAAUUCCUGGAAACCACUGGAAUCACCUGGGUUCAUUCUGAGUUGCUUCCUUUGGAAAAUCUUUUGGAAGAACAUGAAGGGGUGUUUUUUACGUUCCCUUACUAAAUGCUAAAGUGUGAUAUGGUAAAAUUUGCUGGUUCACUGAGUGAAGCAUCAGGCAUUGGCUGAAAUCUGGUGUCAAAACAUAGGAGAUCUUCCUGCUACUUGUAUUUAGUGGGACACUUCUAUACCUCCUACAGUGCACAGGACAGCCCCCUACAGUGGAGAAUUAUCCAGCUAUCCAGCUUCAAAUGUCAAUCGUGCCAAGGUUGAAGACCCUGAUUUAGGGGCUUCUUUGCAAAUCAUUGAUCUUACCAUCAAGGACUUAAUAUUCCAGAUUGCUGAGAGCAUUCUGUUUUUGAAAUAUCUCUAUUGGAUCAUUUGAGAAGCCCUGGUUAACUCCCAUAUUUAAGGAGAUCUCACAGGAGUUGUUUUAGAACAAGAUUACUUUUGUUCUAUGGCCAAAGGCUUCCUUUCCAGAAAGCUACACCCAAAUUUAAACCACUUGCUCAGCCAAGGCUUCAGAAAAUCUAUCAUCUGGUAGAAAAGCAGAGUUGUCUUUUUAUCCCAGGUACAAGGAUUCUUAUUACAAACGACCACCUAUUGUGACACUAAUAGCAUUGCUGAGGUGGUAACUUUCUAUUUUAAAGUGUUAAGGCUGCAAGUCUACUAAGACCAUUAUAAAGACAUGAUCAUCUGGAAACAUCUGCAAGAAAAUCUACCAAAAUGAAGACACACUCACAAAAUGACCUUCCUCCUACAUCCCAGCUCUUGUCAUCUUAAAGGCAUUCACUCCAUGGAGGCCCCAGGAGGCGAAUGGCUUCUCUCAUCUUGGGCUGCAGCUUUGCUGAUGACUUCUGGCUCCUCAUGGAAAACAGAAGUGCAGGGCAUGCUUUUCCAUUAAGCUCUUUCUGCUAAAGCAGAUUCGAAGUUAAGAGAAGCAGGCACUGCUCAUUCUUGUCCAACAUUCAUGGACAAAGAACUCUGGGCUUCAGUCUUGUCAACCCUCGUGCAGGGCUCUGCUCAUUAGCAGGAAUCUUCAGAUGACUCAUAUUCCUGGGCAUUUGAUCUUUUGUGAUAAGAAGAACCAGCCUGGCUCACUGACUGGUAUGGUGUGGCAUGGUUCCUGGCAAUGGUGUCUUUGGAGACUGAUGAAAUUCUUUUAAGAUUGAUAUCUCCAUUAUGACAUAUUGAGCAUUGUGUGUUUGGGUUGUGUUAAGGAACUACUACCACCCGAACACUCUGGUCUUCCUCUCUCCUUUUUUCUUUUAGGCACAUUAUGUGUGGAGAUGUGUUCUUAUUGGCAAAGGAUACAAUAUUCACUGAUAAGGAAAAGUAAACUAUGCUAAUAACAUGCAGAAUUUAAAGGAAAUCCCCAAACCUGAAGUUUUCCCAAAUCUUUGGGCUUCCUUAGCCCUGUAAGUGGAUCAAACAGCUGGGGAGUUUUCUUUUUUAAUUUUUAUUUUUAUCACAGAUCAUCUACCAUGAGCAAUUUCUCUGGAAGUUGAUGUGUCAAUGACUAUCUCAUCUUUGUUGAAGUGAAGUUUUUGGUCCUGAAGCUGGCUGACUCUCAGCUUCCUGGACAGGCCCUUUUCUGGGCACACCGGGACAUUGGGCAUUUGUUGGAGUUUUCCAAUGUCUGUAGCUCCAGGUGUUCAGCAAGAGGCAUGGCACUGUGAAGUCACCAUAGUGUUUACGGAGAAGCACAAUAGGGGGCACCCUCCAUAAAUCUGGUUGAGGGAAAAGCAUUACAAGUUGGAUGAAAUAAGAAUACAAGAAACAGUAUUUGUAGAGUGUAUAUGACUGUGUGUCAAGUGAAGGGAAGACAGAAGAAAUGCUGUAAGUUACUAAGAGGGAGAAAUGACUAAGGACUGCAGUUGUCAUGGCAGGCUUCCUGAAGGUGGUGGAUGUGGGCUGAUGUCUGAAGAAAGUUACCAUUUACUGAGAUCUCACAGUGAGCCAGGCCCUGUUCUAAAUAUUAAUGUGGAUAUUUUGUUUAAGUCUCAUCAUUUUUCAAGAGAGGGUAAACUGACAGAUGGGAAACUGAGGCCUGGAGAGAUUUCGUCUCCUGCUCAACAUUGUCACAACUUGUCAGAGAUGGAGCCUGAGCAAAAUCCCAGGUCUGCCUGAUUCUGAAGCCUGGACUUUUACAGAACACUGCCUCUGACCAUGGCUAUGCUGGCAUUCAGCAAGUAGGAACAUCAGGAGCACUGAGGCUGUCACUAAUGGUCCUGUCCCAGCCCCUCCACUGUGAAGCUGAGACCUUUCACAGGAACCAAAAAGGGAUUGAUGCUGUGGAGAUGGGACACUGAUACUCGCAGGUAUGCACACUGCUGGGCAGGUCCACAUGACCGAUACGUGCCAGAAGCCAACUGGAACAAAGCUGUGAAAUGGGAGCAUUUCUGAGAAAGAGAAUAGCAGCCCCUCCCUGGUGCCAGCCCAGCCCACACAGCUGGGCCUGGCAUUCUCCCUAACACAACACAUCGCUGAAGAGCAACACCAGACAAGCCACUCAUGACCCAAUGCAGCAAGACAGACAGACACCGGGUGACUGUGUCUGGACACAGAAAACAUGCCAUGGUCUAGCCACCAAUCACAGACACUGGGUGACCGUGUCUGGACACAUAUGGGACACACCUCGGCCCAACCACCGAACGAUUCCCUGUUAUGCCUACUAGGAAUGACAGCUGCUUCUUUACCUGCAUUUUCUUUAAGCACCUGUGCCAGGUGGUUUCACUCCUGAGCCUCCAGCAUGGUGUGUCAGGAAUACUUCUGUCCAAGAGUCAGGGCUGCUUGUUCAAACCUUUGCUUGGCCAUUAAUUCCCUGAAAGCUCUUGGAUAAGUCAUGUCUUGGUCUGUUUUCUGUAGCUAUAACAGAAGAUCUGAGACUAGGUAAUUUAUGAAGAAAAAGGCUUAGCUCACAGUUCUGGAGGCUGUGAAGUUCAAGAUCAGGUGGCUGCAUCUGGCAAGGGCUUCGUGUGCAUUGCAACAUGGUGGAUGACAUUACUUGGCAAGAGCACAUGUGAGAGAGGUGAGCAGGUGUAUGCAAAGAGACAAAACGCAAGGGGUGGCCUUGCUCUGUGACCUCCUGCUCUCCAGAUAGCUCAUCCAGUCCUGCAAGAGUGAGAGUUCACUCUGGAGAAAGAGCAUUAAUCCCGCUAUGAGGGCAGAGCCAGCCCUCUGCUGCAAAUGCCUCUUCAAUGUCCCACCAUCGGUCAGCACUGUUGCAUUGGGGGUUUCAAUUGGUCUCAGUUUCAAUGUUAAGGCAUGGUUGAAACAAGUGAGCUCUGAGGCCCUGUGACUCAGUGAGAGAGGACGCGAUGGGAAAGGGAAGGAGCCUGGAGGCCACAGGGACAUGGCCUCAGGGAGGCAGGCCCUCUGGUCAAUGUGAAGAGAACACAAGGCGCCCACAAACCACCUGCCGGUGGAAGGCUCCCAGACGCUGAGCAGGGUGCAAGGUGUCAGGACUUUUGGCCUGCUGGCAUGUGCCUGUCAGGGAGGGUGGGUGCACCUGGCCUAGCUGUACUUGGAGAAAGAAGCAGGCUGGGUUCCACGGCUCGUGAUCCAACAACCCCGGCCACUUUAUAGGCCCUGAAGGAGAUAUGAAAGCCCAGAUGCUGUUUUUAUGGGUUUCUGCUGUUGUUGUUUGUGUUUCAUGAAAUGUUUUAAUUGUUUGGUUUUUUAUGCAAUGUAUCCUGAGGCUUUUAAAAUUAUUUCACAAAGAGUACGUGUAGCACUGAAUGUGAAACAGACUCAUUUACAAAUUGUAGGCCGACCACAUUAGAGAAGGUGAAAGCUGCGAGCAUUGCUCUCUGCUGCCUUCGGGCUGCUGCACUAAAUAGCAGGUCACCGGCCUCGCCGGUGCUGGGGAAGGAGCACAUGAAAGGUAGGAAUGUGCUUCUCCCCAACCGAGCCUCCUCACCAGUUGUCUCUGAAUUUCUCUACUGGUUGGAAAGCAAUUUUCUUAUUAGAGAAAAAGAAAAGAAACAAAGUCAUGGUGGCCCCACCAACCUUAUCUCUUCACUCUGGAAAUUAAUAGCAAAGAUGUGCAGCAGCCACGCUGGCAGAGAGAACCACACCCCAGACCGUCCAGCAAAGCCAGGCAUGGGGAAGCGUGUCAGCAUCCGAUAAACCUGGUUGGAAACUUCUCAGUUUAAACCGCUUCAGAGACUAGCUUGAUUUUCCCACCUGAUUCUGUCAUGUUUUCUGGAUGCAUGGUCUCCUGGGACACUCCUGCCAUGAAAGAACCAGGAGGCUCUCCACUGGACAGUCACCUUAGGAAUGGGAUAGUCACAUGUGAAAUCUUGACCUGUAUAGAUGCCCCUUAUUGAUAAGAAGCUCUUUAGUUACCACAUUUUGCAAGGGUGGCAGGUUUGCCCUGUUUGAUGGCUUGCACAAGGGCCCUGAAACACCAAAUCCACAUGUGUACCACCAUUCUGCAUAUGGACUGAAUUUGGCAAAACUCAUGGUGAAUUGUCUAAGAGCCUGGACUGACUUGCUUGUUUCUUUAUUUUUUUGAGACUGAUUCUCUCUCUAUCACCCAGGCUAAAGUGCAGUGGCACAAUCUCGGCUCACUGCAACCUCCACCUUGGGUUCAAGCAAUUCUUGUGCCUCAGCCUCCCGAGUAGCUGGGAUUACAGGCACCUGCCACCACGCCCAGCUAAUUUUUGUAUUUUUAGUAGAGAAGGGGUUUCAGCAUGUUGGCCAGGCUAGUCUCGAACUCCUGACCUCAAGUAAUCCGCCCACCUCAGUCCCCCAAAGUGCUGGGAUUACAGGUGUGAGCUACUGCGCCUGGCCAGAUUUGCUUGUUUCUGAGCCAAGGUUACCGCGCUGGCUUUGAGUCACAUUUGAUUGUUAUCCCCUGGGUGCCUAUUAAACACACCGGUUCCUGUGUCCUACUCAAGACCAACUCAAACAGAAUCUUCAGGGUACAUACCUGGGGAGCUGGAUGUUUAACAAGCACCCCAGAAUUCUUCUCAUGGGGGAAGUGUGGGAAACCUGGGACUUGCUUCAGAGACCAGCGACCUCGCUCUGUGGGCAGAGUGGAGAGCAUCCUGGGACACUUGGCUCAUGGCCUCAGCUUUGGAAAUGGAUGAGCUAGGGUUAAGACCUUCCCUUGGGAGGGCUCAGAACUCAGCGAGCUGUGCCUUAGGAUAUGAGGCUGCUGUUGGGCUCAACCUGGAACAAGUACAGGUGCUGGCUUAGCUUGAUGGGUAAGAACAGGAUUUGCAGAUGGGGGGCUCCCUGUCUUGUUAGCAUUUUCAGUCUUUUGGCCAUGUCAGUAAGCUCAGGACAGGGCAAGGGCUUCUGGAAGACAAAGGAGGACAGUGAGAUUGGGCUGUUCUAUAACAUUUAUUCAGGUCUCUGGCAGAAGCCCCGUGGAACCUCAGCCGGACAGGAGGUGACGCUUCUCCAGAUGACAGUUCUUGUGCCAGCGUCUCAGGUCUGCUCCAGGCUGACGGGUGCUCCGUGCACACAGCAGACCCUGCCGGAAGCUGCAAGUUUGGGAAUCGCAGUAAGGGGUGGUGAGCUGUUCUUUGGUUGUGCGAUCACGUUUACCAGUAGUCUGGCCAGGCCUCUGGCUCAUGGUUAGCGUUUUCAUUUAUAAAAUGCCCGCCUCCCUCCCAGAGAAAGUGAGAGAAGUCAUUCACAAAAUGAUUUUAAACUGCUUUCCAAGGAGCGGCCACUGUGGAAUUGCUUCAUAGUAGUGAAAGUUUUCACUUGAGUGGGUAUUGAAAACAACGGGUUGACCUUCCAGAAAAGGAAAACACUCCUAAUUUACUACAAAUAGAAACAAAUACGUUGUUAGUUUGUAGUUGUCAGGUCACUUGCUUGCAGCAGGACCAAGACUGACACCAUGAAAUAGCCAUUAAUUCAUCUCACCAACUGCUCAGGUUCAGCCAAGUUUGGAAUAAUUUCUUCCAGAUGCCUUGCUACCACCACCCAACAUUGAAGUGGGCAUAGCUGUGCCCGCCACCCAACGUUCUGAACCAUGGGCUUGACAUAAACUGGGCAUAGCUGUGCCUGUCCCUUACUUAGCUCUACAAUAAGAAACUCUUUAGUUACCACAUUUUGCAAGGGUCCUACCUGGAGCCAUCAUCCAUGGAAUGGUUACAUUGGGAGAAUGUAUAGGAAGCCAGUGUUUUCUAAGUUAGAAUUAAUUACCAUGCUUGUCCUUGGACAGACGGGAGGCCCGGUCAUUUCUCACUUUUGUGUAUCACCUUGCAAAGUACCCUCCAUCGCCUGCUUGGGGCCACCUAAUAACUCCAUAAACUGUGCAGGUAUUAUUGCCUCCAUCUUACAGAUGACAAAACUAAGGCCAGAAUGUCAAAUAACUAGGUAAACAAUACAGGAUUCUAAAUGUGGGGGCAUGACUUGAGCCUCCAGAGCCUGAGUCUAAGCCAGAGUGUUUCCACCAAACUGUGCCAUCUUCAUACACUGAUUUCUCUAGGUAUUUGGCCAGGUAUUUUUCUGGCCAACAAAUGAAAAUUAAUGUAGUCUCUGAGAGAGGGACUAUGGUAAGGAACUAAAUGGUCUUGCCUGGCUUCUUUAGGCUUAAAUCUUUUACUAGAAGGAAUAUGUUUUAUUAUUUGUUAUUGUCAAAAUGAUAAAUAAAAGUGCUCGAUUGCAAUGAACGUCAGUAAGUAACUGACUUGACGUUGUAUAAUUAUUAAAUGUUUAAAAUAUGUUAGUGGCAAUAGUGACACUGAUAAUAUUGAUGUGUCGUGUUUUGAAGGCACUCACUUUAAUGUUUAUAUAUCCCCAAUACAUAAUGAAUUAAGUAAGCAAGCGUCGGGUCCUAAGCAUUUUUCUAAUUUAUAUGAUUAGUAAAGAAGUACUCUGCUAAAUGGGAUAAAGUGCUAGUUUAGAAUUAUGGGAUUUCAGACUUUUCUCUGUAACUACUUGCCCUAUUGUGUCGAGUCUUACUCUUUUGUUCUAGAUGACUUUCUUUAUUCAUAAAAUGGUAGUCAGGCCUUUGUAUACUGCCAAAAAUAUGUCUACCCCACACUUAGAUUUAUUCCAAAGAAUAAUUGCACAUAGAUUGUGCACCUAUUAUAAUUACUGAUGUUUAUCCAGCACACCUAAUUUUGCCUUUGUCCCGGCUUGUUGAGGACACUGUUGCCUUAACCAGUGCAUCUUCAAGAGGAACCUUGUGGCUUCUGCCAUGACCAGACAUGGGUUUCUUGGUCUUCACAUGUGAGCGCUGCAGUCUCAGGGUUGCCAGGAUGCUUCCGAGGAUGCCAUCUUCUAUUUUUUAGUGGUUACAUUUUUCAAAAUAUAGACUGAGAUGCUGUUUCCCAUUUUGGGGGUGGCUGGCCUCCUUAUUCCUGGGAUGUGCAUGGUAAAGUGAGUUUCUGAAUGGGUCUAUGAGCUUCUUCCCCAGCCAGAGUUAAUUUAGACACCACCUCUCCCUUCUAAACAGAGCCAGGGCCCAUAUACAAGUCAAAUCUGCUAUUUUUCUUUGGGCAAUGAUUUAUUUCCCUCUUAAAUUGGCUGGACCAGUUAGUUUUUUAUUUUUAUUAAGUCACACUAUUCUUAAAUGAAACUAUUGAUUUAAAGUCAGCUUAGUGAGGAUUUAAUUUGUUUUCAGGGGAUUAGAGCAGGUAGCAUGGGAUAAUUUUACAAUGAAGUGGAGCAGAAGCAUUCCUUCACAGUGCCUCGCCUUUUUUUUUUCUUGCCAGGCUGCACAGACAUUACAAAUUUUCAAGUAAAUUGUGGAAAUACAUUCAUAAAUCAGUCCUAAUUCGUCUGCCUGCUUAAGGGUGAUUCAAAGGGGAGUUCAUUCCUGACCUUGUCUCAUGUCCUUCUGAUAGGCCACGUGUCUAGGGCUAAAACACGUGUACCUGUGCAUGUACACGAACACACACACACACACACAUACACAUACACACACCAGAUUCCUUUCCUCCUUUCCUCUCUAAGGUCCAUGUAAAAUUCUUUUUCGUCGCCUUUCCUCCCUUCAUACAGUAUUGCCUCUGUUCACACAAUGGUUUCUUUCCCUAGCAUGUGGAAGGGGUGAAGGGCGCAGGGCCUGUGGGGACUGCCUAGCUUGUGUCCCCUUCGGGUCCCCCUGGUUUCUCUGCACCCAGUGCACCCUCUCCCUGCUUUCCCCCAUGCUCCAGUAUCCUCUCUCCUGGUCGGGAUCCCUCUGACCUUCCAGGAAGUUGGGUGGCAGGUCUGGGCGCCAAUGGAGGGAGGGCAGGUGGGGAAGUGAAUGUGAUCAACUCUCAUGAUGGUUUAAAAAUCAACAGAGUGAAACUGUCCAAACACAGCUAGGGAAGGUUUUCUGUUGUUUGUUUUAAAAAGUAGAGUCUUGUCAUUGCCAGUCUGUUAUCUCUGAGCUUGGCUGUCACUAUCCAUUUCAAAAGGAGCCGUUUCUUUCUAUUGAAAUCAAAUAGAGUCAGAGCCAUUUUCAGAUUAAUGGUCCUUGGUCUAGAGGUUUCAAAACCAUUUUGGUCAAUCAUUCUGAGUGUCUCCAUUGUCCACAACCCCCUCCCACUGGGGUAGCUGGGGCCGAGUCUUGCCAAGCAUCAGGUGACUAAGUCCAUCUGGAGAAUCCGCCACUGCCAAAGGGGCUGGACUAGCAUCCCACCUACUGGGCUCCCCACCAGCAGCAACACAGGGGUCCACUGCCUUUCGUUUCACAAAUAAGUCUUGACUUCCUGAACAGUCGGCUUCAUGCCUCAUGCACUGGAACUGGAAGGCAGGGCAGGCUUUUCUCUGGGACCCGGGGUGUCACUGGGAUUCCUCUGCUAAACAGCUGUGAGUGUGGGGGAUGAAGGGAGACAGGGUGUAGGUAGCAGAUACAUCAGGUGUUUCUUGGGAUUUGGACUUUCUUCUUCCUUCCUUCCUUCCUGCCUUCCUUCCUUCCUUCCUUCAUUCCUUCCUCCCUCCCUCCCUCUCUCUCUCCCUCCCUCCCUCCCUCCCUCUCUCUCUCUCUCUUUCUUUCUUUUUUUCAAGGAGUUGCAUUCUGAUUGCCCAGGCUGGAGUGCAAUGGUGUGAUCUUGGCUCACUGCAACCUCUGCCCUCUGCCUCCCAAGUUCAAGUGAUUCUCCUGCCUCAGCCUCCCGAGUAGCUGAGAUUACAGGCAUGUGCCACCAUGCCCAACUAAUUUUGUAUUUUUAGUAGGGAUGGAAUUUCUCCAUGUUGAUCAGGCUGGUCUUUAACUCCCAACCUCAGGUGAUCCACCCACCUCAGCUUCCUGAAGUGCUGGGAUUAUAGGUGUGAGCUACUGUGCCCGGUGGGAUUUGGGCUUUCCAUAGCACUCAGUUUGAUUGCGGAGAGCAGGUGAAUUGCCAAGACCUGCCUGUGGCCAUGGAGUGCAGCAGCAGGUGUGUGUGGCCGGCCAGCCUGUGGGACCAGAAGGAGACUUGAGGAUGGGGUCACGAAUGCUCCACUGCAUGGAGGAUGGGUGAGCUCAGGUCUGCCUGUUCUUGGUGUGAACGACUCACAAGAAGACUUGCCUAGAGAAAUUCAAGGGACCAACCAUACCACAAGAGAAUACAAAUGGCACAGAGCAGUAGGCAUCAUGGCAUGAGGUACCGGAACUGUGCAAGGAUUACACAAGCAUUAAAAAUGCAGAAUGGAUUGCAAGAAAAAUGCCAUAUAUUUUCUGAGUAGUCAGAGGAAAGUGUGUACGUAAAGGUGUCACGAGAAGCAUAGUGAAACUGAACUGAAAUGUUAAGAGUAACAACACAGGAAAGAUCAGCAGCAGCAGAGAUGGGAGACAUACAGGAGAAAGGCCGGAGAACUCUGAGCCAGCACCAGCACGGUUCCAGGGAAUUCCAGUGAGGGAAGGCGAGGCCAGGGUUGUAGAGAAACCCUGCUCUGCAGUUUCUGUGGGCAGUGGCCUCCCACGGAAGAACUCCUGCCCUCGGUGGAGGAGUCUCCCCUCGGGGGCUGAACCCCUUCAGCAGAGGAGCACCCUUCUUUAUGUGACCUGAUCCCCCAGGACACUUGAGUCACCCCUCCAGCUCCACAGGAAGUGGGACACCGAGGAGCCAUGGACCUGCUAAAACUUCAGCUCUGUCGUCCUCUGGUUUGUACGAAUGCAGAAAGGUCACCUCGCUGCUUUCAGCCCCAGUGUUAUCAUCUAUACCCUCUUGAACUACAGUGGUCUUUAGUUGCUUUUUCAACUUGAAAAAAG